rnacentral:rRNA from 1 species
AACGAACGCUGGCGGCAGGCUUAACACAUGCAAGUCGAACGGACCCCUCGGGGUUAGUGGCGGACGGGUGAGUAACACGUGGGAACGUGCCCUUUGGUUCGGAACAACUCAGGGAGACUUGAGCUAAUACCGAAUGUGCCCUUCGGGGGAAAGAUUUAUCGCCAUUGGAGCGGCCCGCGUCUGAUUAGCUAGUUGGUGGGGUAAUGGCCCACCAAGGCGACGAUCAGUAGCUGGUCUGAGAGGAUGAUAAGCCACAUUGGGACUGAGACACGGCCCAAACUCCUACGGGAGGCAGCAGUGGGGAAUCUUGCGCAAUGGGCGAAAGCCUGACGCAGCCAUGCCGCGUGAAUGAUGAAGGUCUUAGGAUUGUAAAGCUCUUUCACCGGAGAAGAUAAUGACGGUAUCCGGAGAAGAAGCCCCGGCUAACUUCGUGCCAGCCGCCGCUGUAAUAC